UGAACGCUGGCGGCAGGCCUAACACAUGCAAGUCGAGCGGAUGAAGGGAGCUUGCUCCUGGAUUCAGCGGCGGACGGGUGAGUAAUGCCUAGGAAUCUGCCUGGUAGUGGGGGAUAACGUCCGGAAACGGGCGCUAAUACCGCAUACGUCCUGAGGGAGAAAGUGGGGGAUCUUCGGACCUCACGCUAUCAGAUGAGCCUAGGUCGGAUUAGCUAGUUGGUGGGGUAAAGGCCUACCAAGGCGACGAUCCGUAACUGGUCUGAGAGGAUGAUCAGACACACUGGAACUGAGACACGGUCCAGACUCCUACGGGAGGCAGCAGUGGGGAAUAUUGGACAAUGGGCGAAAGCCUGAUCCAGCCAUGCCGCGUGUGUGAAGAAGGUCUUCGGAUUGUAAAGCACUUUAAGUUGGGAGGAAGGGCAGUAAGUUAAUACCUUGCUGUUUUGACGUUACCAACAGAAUAAGCACCGGCUAACUUCGUG
rnacentral:rRNA from 1 species